rnacentral:rRNA from 1 species
UACGUAGGUGGCAAGCGUUGUCCGGAUUUACUGGGCGUAAAGAGCGCGCAGGCGGUCGAAUAAGUCGAAUGUGAAAGCCCCCGGCUUAACUGGGGAGGGUCAUUCGAUACUGCUCGACUUGAAGGCAGGAGAGGGUAGUGGAAUUCCCGGUGUAGUGGUGAAAUGCGUAGAUAUCGGGAGGAACACCAGUGGCGAAGGCGGCUCACUGGCUCGGUACUGACGCUGAGGUGCGAAAGCGUGGGGAGCAAACAGGG